CCCACGCCAAGUUCUUCAACUGACGGUAGCGGGACUGAGCACAUGUGUUGAGCCAUGCAGACUGUGAGAGGAUUACUUCAGUUUGCAAUCAGUGGGACACAUUAUUGUACGUCAGGACGCCUUGUGACGCGCAAAGGCCUAUAUUCAGACAGUAUGGAACUUGUGGAAGAAUGCAUAAGUAUACCUGCAAGUUACGAAAUCGUUUUCUUAUUGGGGAGUGAAGAACUUAUGUAGAGACUGGAAGGGUUAUAGUGCAGCCAUCACAUCUUUUCGAGGUUAUCGUCAGUUAAAUAAUGAAGCAUACCCAUCGUUUGCUCCCACAUGGAAUGUGGAGAGGAUGGACAUAAGUUACUUCAUGAUAAUGGAGUCUGAUCUUGUUAGAAAAGUUGUUGAGUGUUCCAAGGGAUGUACUGUGCCAUGAAAACAUGAGUGGUUUUCUGUCCGAACGAUGCAGCUGGAAAUUAGCACGUGGGGAAAUAUUGUUGAGGAUAGAAAUUUGUAAGGUGUAAGCCACUCGGGGAGACCCGAAUAGUUAAUGAAUGCUGUGGAGUUCUUUAAAAGGUCAGUGCCUGUGGCUUUGGGAGGUGAGAUUAAGAUUACAGCUUCGGUAUCUUCAGAUCAAAAUGGAGUGAUGUGAAUAGUUGUGGCUUUAUUGAAUUACUGACAACCUAGUUAGGGAAAAGGAAGGCUUGUUAAUGCAGAUUAUUUCACAGGACUAAUGUGGGUUGGACCUACAAGGUGAGAAAAGUAAUGAGGCUGACAGUACUGUGAACAAUCUGGUAACACUGUGUGCUUGUGUAGCCUGUUGUGUUCAUCCCUUCUAGAUGUUCAGUGGUUCAUCUCCAUAUGGCCAUCAUGUGAUUUUUGAGACUGCCAUCGGUGAAGUUUUUUUAUAAGUGGAACAUUGGAAUUUAGAGCAACAUUAUUCCAUAAAGUUUUGUGUUAAACUUGGGGAAUCUGUAUGUCUUAAAGAGUGUCAUUUUGGAACUUUGGAGAACAUUCAAAAGAAGUGACCGGUGUGCAGCACUGCUACCAAGACUGGGAACUGACUCUGCUGGUAAACAGCUGCCAACAGGAACUAAUUUGAAGGGGAUAAUAUUGUUGUUUGAAAAAAUAAAAAUUCCUAGAGAAAGUCUCAUUACUGUUUUCAUGCAACUCAUAUGUUGUAUUAAAUAUGUAGUUGUCAGUACCUGUAUCUGUAAGGUUUGAAAAUAAAAUGUGGUGACUCCAGUA